rnacentral:rRNA from 1 species
UACAGAGGUCUCAAGCGUUGUUCGGAUUCAUUGGGCGUAAAGGGUGCGUAGGUGGCGGGGUAAGUCAGGUGUGAAAUCUCGGAGCUCAACUCCGAAACUGCACUUGAUACUGCCUUGCUCGAGUACUGGAGAGGAGAUUGGAAUUUCCGGUGGAGCGGUGAAAUGCGUAGAGAUCGGAAAGAACACCAACGGCGAAAGCACUCUGCUGGGCCGACACUGACACUGAGAGACGAAAGCUAGGGGAGCGAAUGGG